rnacentral:rRNA from 1 species
CGCGUAGGCGGGUGGUCAAGUCAGGGGUGAAAUCCUCCAGCUUAACUGGAGAAUAGCUUUUGAUACUGGCCGUCUUGAGGGAGGUAGGGGCAUGUGGAACUUCCGGUGGAGCGGUGAAAUGCGUAGAUAUCGGAAGGAACGCCGGUGGCGAAAGCGACGUGCUGGACCUCUUCUGACGCUGAGGCGUGAAAGCCAGGGGAGCAAACGGGAUUAGAUACCCCGGUAGUCCUGGCCCUAAACGAUGGGUACUAGAUUGUGGACUAACAUGGGUUCACAGUCGAAGCAAAAGUGUUAAGUACCCCGCCUGGGGAGUAUGGUCGCAAGGCUGAA